CGGUAAUCCAGAGACUGGGUAGAUGUGAGCUGCUGGGAGCCCACGUCCCAGCAGCUGGGGGCUAGUGUGCCCAUAGCCCUCUCAAAACGAGGUCCUGGGAGCCCCUGGCAUCAGCCUCCUUGAGGAACUUGCUAGAAUGCCCUGGCCCCCACCUGCUGACUCAGAUUCUGCAACAGGAUCCCCAGCCCUUGAGCACCUGAAAGUUCAAGAAGCAACCUAUGAAAUGGCCUCAGGGGACUGCUGUGAGGCUUGAGUGAGAUUAAGGCGCAGAAGGCAGCACGUGAAAGAGCGUCCGGUCCACAGUAGUUGCUGUUAUUCUGAUUUGCAUCCAGGUGUGUUGCGUGUGCUUGCUUACCCAGAUUCUUAAAUGUGCAAUUACACGAGUGCCGGGAGGAGAGGCUGUGUCAUUGGCAGAAUUCAGUGCACAACGAGAUGUGGGCCCUUUGUUCACAACUCAGACAGCAGACAGAGUCUUGGAUCAGGCUCCCAGGCCCUUGUGAACUCAGGACGGCUGGUGACCGCCUCGCGGGCAGGAGGAGGAAGAGGGCAGGAUGCGGCGCGGAUGCGCCUGUUUGAGGCCCUGCUGCUUCCCGAGUUUCCUUCCUCCCGUGAUUUGGCCCAUCCUUCAGGUUUUACAGAAGUUCAAGAAGUGGAGGGUGUGUCCUUGAAGAAGCAUCACUUCAUUCAUUCACUGGGUUCAAGUCAUUGUGUGCUUGUAAUGUACCAAUACCAUCUGUUCUGAAAUGAACAAAAGCAGCCGUGAUCCAUACCUCUGGGGAGUUUCAGGGAGACCGACAUUAAUCAAAUGACCACACAAAUCAACGUUCAAUUGCGACCAUGAUAAGUGCUGUGUAUUAUAGAGACAUGCGGUGCUUUAUGGGAGCCCAGAAUUAGUCUGGAAAGUCACAGAAGAUUUCCUGGGUGAAGUAUCCUUUGGCUGAGCUGUUAAGUGUAAGGUGUUAUUUAUGUAAAGAGAGGCUGGAAGAACCUUCCUGGGCGAAGGGAAAGCAUAUGCAAAGGCCCUGCGGUGGGAAGCAGCAGAGUGGCUGCAGAAGGGCGAGGAAGGUGCUGUGUCUCAGCGAGGGGACUGUGGAGUGAAAACCGACGGGAGGGUGGGGCCAACCCACAGGGCCUUUCUGAUCUUUUAGGGAAGGUUCCUUUUUUUUUUUCGCCUAUUAAGCUUUUUAUUUUGUAUUGAGGUAUAGCUGAUACUUCCCUGGUGGCUCAGAUGGUGAAGAGUCUGCCUGCAACACAGGGACCCAGGUUCAGUCUCUGGGUCGGGAAGAUCCCCUGGAGAAGGGAAUGGCUAACCGCUCCAGUAUUCUGGCCUGGAGGCUUCCAUGGACAGAGGAGCCUACAGUCCCUGGGGUUACAGAGAGUCAGACACAACUGAGUGACUAACACUUUGGCUUUCACAGCCGAUUAACUAAACAAUGUUGUGACAGUUUCAGGCGAACAGCUGAGGGACUCAGCCAUACAUAUCCAUGUAUCCAUUCUCCGUCAAACUCCUCUCCAUCCAGGCUUCCACAUACCAUUGAGCAGAGUUCCCUGUGCUAUAAAGUAAAUCUUUGUUGGUUAUCCAUUUUAAAUAUAGCAGUGUCUGUAUGUCCAUCCCAAACUCCCUAAUUAUCAGUUCCCCUCAUCCCUGGUGGCUCAGACAGUAAAGCGUCUUGCUUACAAUGCGG
rnacentral:lncRNA from 1 species